CAGUAGCCACGGGAAUACGAAGGGUGCAAGCGUUACUCGGAAUUACUGGGCGUAAAGCGUGCGUAGGUGGUGGUUUAAGUCCGUUGUGAAAGCCCUGGGCUCAACCUGGGAAUUGCAGUGGAUACUGGGUCACUAGAGUGUGGUAGAGGAUAGUGGAAUUUCCGGUGUAGCAGUGAAAUGCGUAGAGAUCGGAAGGAACAUCUGUGGCGAAGGCGACUAUCUGGGCCAACACUGACACUCAGGCACGAAAGCGUGGGGAGCAAACAGGAUUAGAUACCCCUGUAGUCCCUGUCUCUUAUAC
rnacentral:rRNA from 1 species